AAAACCAAGACAAGUAGAAAAAAUAACAUAAAACACCGAUUUCCCAAAAUGCCUAAGACCAAAUUCGGCACAACCUAACCCCAGCCGAAUUUCCCAAGCUAAAAACUCCUCAAACGACACAACUCUCCUCUCAACCCACUCCUAAAUUUUCUCCUCAAAUCCCUUCCCUUAUCCUUCCUUGAAUCUCUCCACCCACUACUCCUCAACUCC
rnacentral:lncRNA from 1 species